rnacentral:lncRNA from 1 species
GCCAAAACGUUUUAAAUUGUUUAUUAAAGUGAUUCAAGACUAAGUUGUAAUAAUUUGGGCAUGGUGGUAGGCGCAGCCAGUAUAAUUUUCCUGAUUCUACUCACACCCUUGGCUACAUUAUGUGUCCUUUCAGCAGCACAACUAGCCAAUGAUGAGCUAUUUCAAAAGCUCUUGCAGAAAGCAUAGGCUUUCAUAAAGUAGUAGUUUAUAUGGAGUCAUCAGUUUGCUAACAUUUUCAGUAUACAGCCUGACCCUCAGGAUAAAUGGCUUCUACCAGGGGGAAGAUGUUAACUCAUUGGUCAUCUGCUGUAAUAGACACCCUAACAGUUUAUUCAGUAGAGAAAUCACAUUAUGCUCAUAGUCAUGAAAAAACUAGAUGGCAAAUACAGUGAAAAGUACAUGUUCUUUGUGCGGGGCAGUAGCAAUGGCUUAUGUGCUUUCUGACAUUUGAAGACUUAAGGCCCUUUUUAUGUAAAGAUGACAUUUGAUUCUAAUUUCCUCCUAUGUUACCUC